rnacentral:tRNA from 1 species
GUGUCUGUACUCCAAUGAUUAUGAGAAUUGCCUUCAAAGCAAUAGCUUUUGGUUCAACUCUAGUUUGAUGUA